ACUGUAUUCCCUUGCUCUCCAGGUGGGUGCCUGAUUGCUGAAACUUUAAUUGUAUUCCCUUGCUCUCCAGGUGGGCACCUGAUUGCCAAAACUUGAACCGUAUUCCCUUGCUCUCCAGGUGGGCGCCUGAUUACCAAAACUUGAACCGUAUUCCCUUACUCUCUAGGUGGGCGCCUGAUUGCCAAAACUUCAACUAUAUUCCCUUGCUCUCCAGGUAGGCGCCUGAUUGCCAAAACUUUAACUGUAUUCCCUUGCUCUCCAGGUGGGCGCUGAUUGCCGAAACUUUAGCUGUAUUCCCUUGCUCUCCAGGUGGGCACCUGAUUGCCAAAAGUUUAACUAUAUUCCCUUGCUCUCCAGGUGCGCGCCUCAUUGCCAAAACUUGAACUGUAUUCCCUUACUCUCCAGGUGGGUCCCUAAUUGGCAAAACUUUAACUGUAUUCCCUU
rnacentral:lncRNA from 1 species